GUGCCAGCCGCCGCGGUAAUACGGAGGGUCCGAGCGUUAUCCGGAUUCACUGGGUUUAAAGGGUGCGCAGGCGGUCUGGUAAGUCAGCGGUGAAAGCCUUCGGCUCAACCGGAGAAUUGCCAUUGAAACUACUAGACUUGAGUGUAGUUGAGGUGGGCGGAAUGUAGCAUGUAGCGGUGAAAUGCAUAGAUAUGCUACAGAACACCGAUAGCGAAAGCAGCUCACCAGACGACAACUGACGCUGAGGCACGAAAGCAGGGGUAGCAAACAGGAUUAGAUACCCGGGUAGUCC
rnacentral:rRNA from 1 species